rnacentral:rRNA from 1 species
GGAUUUGAUCCUGGUCCAGGAUGAACGCUGGCGGUGUGCCUUAAGCAUGCAAGUAGAGCGAGACUCGCAAGAGUUUAGCUGCGAACGGCUGAGUACAAAAUAGCAAUUUAUCCCUUGGCGGGGAAUACCUAUCCGAAAGGGUAGCUAAUACCGCAUAAGACCUUACGGUGAAAGCACGUAACUGUGCACCGAGGGAGAAGCCUAUUACCCAUCAGUUUGUUGGUAGGGUAAUGGCCUACCAAGACUACGACGGGUAGGGGACGUGAGAGCGUGACCCCCCAGAAUGGGACUGAGACACGGCCCAUACACCUACGGGUGGCAGCAACUGGGAAUCGUGCGCAAUGGGCGAAAGCCUGACGCCGCGACGCCGCGUGUGGGAUGAAGGCCUUCGGGUCGUAAACCACUUUUAACGUAAAGCAUUGCUUUACGUGGAAUAAGCACCUGCUAACUCUGUGCCAGCAGCCGCGGUAAUACAGAGGGUGCAAGCGUUAUCCGGAUUUAUUGGGCGUAAAGCGUUUCGUAGGCGAUUUGGUAAGUUAGACUUCAAAGACCAGGGCUCAACCUUGGGAAGGGGUCUAAUACUGUCAGAUUUGAAAUAUUCUGGGGCUACUGGAACUGUUGGUGUAGGGGUGAAAUCCGUUGAUAUCAACAGGAACAUCAAGGGCGAAGGCGGGUAGCUAAGAAUUUUUUGACGCUGAGGAACGAAAGCUAGGGGAGCGAAAGGGAUUAGAGACCCCUGUAGUCCUAGCCGUAAACUUUGCUCGCUAGGGAUUGGGAGUUUACUCUCAGUUCCGUAAGCUAACGCGUUAAGCGAGCCGCCUGGGGAGUACGAGCGCAAGCUUAAAACUCAAAGGAAUUGACGGGGACCUGCACAACCAGUGGAGCAUGUGGUUUAAUUCGAGACGAAACGAAGAACCUUACCCGGGUUUGACAUGUUAUCGUUUAGUUUUCUAGAAAUAGAGAAUAAUCCGCAAGGAUGAUAACACAGGUGUUGCAUGGCUGUCGUCAGCUCGUGCCGUGGGGUGUUCCCUUCAGUGGGGUAACGAGCGCAACCCCUGUCGUAUGUUAAAUAUUCAUACGAGACUAUCCACCUUUUGGUGGAAGGAAGUGGGGACGACGUCAAGUCAGCAUGGCCCUUAUGUCCGGGGCGACACACAUGCUACAAUGGAGCCGACAAUGGGUUGCCAAGCCGUAAGGCGGAGCUAAUCCCAUCAAACGGCUUCUCAGUGGGGAUUGAGGGCUGAAACUCGCCCUCAUGAACAUGGAAUUGGUAGUAAUCGCGGGUCAGCUAUACCGCGGUGAAUACGUUCUCAGGUCUUGUACACACCGCC